GGCGCCAUGACCGAGUGGUCUAAGGUGACAGAUUUGAAUAUUACAAACCUAUCUGUUGUGCUAUGCACGCGCAAGUUCGAACCUUGCUGGCGUCG